UUCUGACCAUGCUUCUUUGAUUCAUUGCUUUCCUGCCGUCUUGAUUUCUUGCUUCUUUAUUUGCUUCCAUGAUUCAUUGCUUAGUUCUAGCUUCUGAUUUCUUGAUCACUUCCUUGGUUCCCUGCGUGCUUGUUUUUGUUACUUUCUUGCCUCCUUCAUAUUUGCUUUAUUUUUGCUUUCUACUCUUGCUUCUUUGAUUCUUUGCUUUCCUGCCUUCUUGAAUUCUUGCUUCUUUGUUUGCUUCCAUGAUUCAUUGCUUAGUUCUACCUUCUGAUUUCUUGAUUUGUUAUUCACUUGCUUGGUUCCCUGCGUGCUAGUUUUCGUUUACUUCCUUGCUUCCUUCAUAUUUGUUUUUAUUUUUGCUUUCUGAACUUGCUUCUUUGAUUCUUUGCUUUCCUGCC
rnacentral:lncRNA from 1 species